NAAAGCCGUAUGCGGGAAAACUGCACGUACGGUUUGAGCGGCGGACGGAGGCAAGCCCUUAAGUGGGCGCCUCCUCCGACCCGAC
rnacentral:ncRNA from 1 species